UCGAUCUACUUUUCUCUUGACAUCGUAGAAGGAAUUCUAUUCCACAAUAUCAAAAUGCUUUGCGGGAUUUUAUUUUCUCAGAAAAAAAAAACAAAGAUCACAGAACAGGCAUGUCCAAGGCUCGCAGAACAUCCUUGAAUUCAAAAUCUCGUGUUUCUUUAUUAAACCGUUCAACGAGUUUGUAUAUGGUAUCAUUCAGAUAGAGAGACUGAACCGUCUCCAAAAGCCACUUCGCUUCUUCAUCAGUGAGCUUGCUGGUGAACACAACAUCUCCCCGUAUAAGUACCAAGUCCUUGGUUUCUGCAAAUUCAGUGUAAAAAGUUGCAGUCAAGUAGGGAGCUGCUUGAGUUCCUCUUGCCUAGUAAUCUUCAAG
rnacentral:lncRNA from 1 species